rnacentral:rRNA from 1 species
GUGACUGCGUACCUUUUGUAUAAUGGGUCAGCGACUUAUAUUCUGUAGCAAGGUUAACCGAAUAGGGGAGCCGAAGGGAAACCGAGUCUUAACUGGGCGUUAAGUUGCAGGGUAUAGACCCGAAACCCGGUGAUCUAGCCAUGGGCAGGUUGAAGGUUGGGUAACACUAACUGGAGGACCGAACCGACUAAUGUUGAAAAAUUAGCGGAUGACUUGUGGCUGGGGGUGAAAGGCCAAUCAAACCGGGAGAUAGCUGGUUCUCCCCGAAAGCUAUUUAGGUAGCGCCUCGUGAAUUCAUCUCCGGGGGUAGAGCACUGUUUCGGCAAGGGGGUCAUCCCGACUUACCAACCCGAUGCAAACUGCGAAUACCGGAGAAUGUUAUCACGGGAGACACACGGCGGGUGCUAACGUCCGUCGUGAAGAGGGAAACAACCCAGACCGCCAGCUAAGGUCCCAAAGUCAUGGUUAAGUGGGAAACGAUGUGGGAAGGCCCAGACAGCCAGGAUGUUGGCUUAGAAGCAGCCAUCAUUUAAAGAAAGCGUAAUAGCUCACUGGUCGAGUCGGCCUGCGCGGAAGAUGUAACGGGGCUAAACCAUGCACCGAAGCUGCGGCAGCGACGCUGAUGCGUUGUUGGGUAGGGGAGCGUUCUGUAAGCCUGUGAAGGUGUACUGUGAGGUAUGCUGGAGGUAUCAGAAGUGCGAAUGCUGACAUAAGUAACGAUAAAGCGGGUGAAAAGCCCGCUCGCCGGAAGACCAAGGGUUCCUGUCCAACGUUAAUCGGGGCAGGGUGAGUCGACCCCUAAGGCGAGGCCGAAAGGCGUAGUCGAUGGGAAACAGGUUAAUAUUCCUGUACUUGGUGUUACUGCGAAGGGGGGACGGAGAAGGCUAUGUUGGCCGGGCGACGGUUGUCCCGGUUUAAGCGUGUAGGCUGGUUUUCCAGGCAAAUCCGGAAAAUCAAGGCUGAGGCGUGAUGACGAGGCACUACGGUGCUGAAGCAACAAAUGCCCUGCUUCCAGGAAAAGCCUCUAAGCAUCAGGUAACAUCAAAUCGUACCCCAAACCGACACAGGUGGUCAGGUAGAGAAUACCAAGGCGCUUGAGAGAACUCGGGUGAAGGAACUAGGCAAAAUGGUGCCGUAACUUCGGGAGAAGGCACGCUGAUAUGUAGGUGAAGCGACUUGCUCGUGGAGCUGAAAUCAGUCGAAGAUACCAGCUGGCUGCAACUGUUUAUUAAAAACACAGCACUGUGCAAACACGAAAGUGGACGUAUACGGUGUGACGCCUGCCCGGUGCCGGAAGGUUAAUUGAUGGGGUUAGCGCAAGCGAAGCUCUUGAUCGAAGCCCCGGUAAACGGCGGCCGUAACUAUAACGGUCCUAAGGUAGCGAAAUUCCUUGUCGGGUAAGUUCCGACCUGCACGAAUGGCGUAAUGAUGGCCAGGCUGUCUCCACCCGAGACUCAGUGAAAUUGAACUCGCUGUGAAGAUGCAGUGUACCCGCGGCAAGACGGAAAGACCCCGUGAACCUUUACUAUAGCUUGACACUGAACAUUGAGCCUUGAUGUGUAGGAUAGGUGGGAGGCUUUGAAGUGUGGACGCCAGUCUGCAUGGAGCCGACCUUGAAAUACCACCCUUUAAUGUUUGAUGUUCUAACGUGGACCCGUAAUCCGGGUUGCGGACAGUGUCUGGUGGGUAGUUUGACUGGGGCGGUCUCCUCCUAAAGAGUAACGGAGGAGCACGAAGGUUGGCUAAUCCUGGUCGGACAUCAGGAGGUUAGUGCAAUGGCAUAAGCCAGCUUGACUGCGAGCGUGACGGCGCGAGCAGGUGCGAAAGCAGGUCAUAGUGAUCCGGUGGUUCUGAAUGGAAGGGCCAUCGCUCAACGGAUAAAAGGUACUCCGGGGAUAACAGGCUGAUACCGCCCAAGAGUUCAUAUCGACGGCGGUGUUUGGCACCUCGAUGUCGGCUCAUCACAUCCUGGGGCUGAAGUAGGUCCCAAGGGUAUGGCUGUUCGCCAUUUAAAGUGGUACGCGAGCUGGGUUUAGAACGUCGUGAGACAGUUCGGUCCCUAUCUGCCGUGGGCGCUGGAGAA